UGUUCUGUGGCUUAUUUACUUAAAGCGCCGGACUAGCGAUACGGAGUCAUGGGUUCAAAUCCCACCAAAAUAU
rfam:Aedes albopictus isolate Foshan contig76549, whole genome shotgun sequence.